rnacentral:sRNA from 1 species
CACCGUUUCAAGGUGAAGACCUUCAAGAAGGUGAAGCCCUGUGGGAUCUGCCGCCAGGUCAUCACCCAGGAAGGCUGCACUUGCAAAGGGCUGGACCAAGAAUACUUGCUGAGGCCCUGACAGUGGGGAGGGCCUGGAAAACUCCCUGGUUGGAGUCUGCAGAGGUAGGAUAGCUUCCCCCACGCAGGCUGCUGCUCACCUCCUCCGCGCUCCAUGCAGCCACCUGGUAAUCAUGAACUGAGCUGUCCUCUGGGUCAGAUGCUGUGCUGGGUCCUGGUGCUGAGAGCCAGCCCCUUACCUGGGAAGACAGACACAGUCAGACAAUCAUGGAGCAUGGUGCCAAAGCUGACACAGGUGCAUGCGUGCGUGUG